rnacentral:siRNA from 1 species
UUCAGAAGUCGUUGUAGUAUAGUG